rnacentral:rRNA from 1 species
GUGAGGAAUAUUGGUCAAUGGGCGGGAGCCUGAACCAUCCAAGUCGCGUGAAGGAAGAAGGAUCUAUGGUUCGUAAACUUCUUUUGCAGGGGAAUAAAGUGCAGGACGUGUCCUGUUUUGUAUGUACCCUGAGAAUAAGGAUCGGCUAACUCCGUGCCAGCAGCCGCGGUAAUACGGAGGAUCCGAGCGUUAUCCGGAUUUAUUGGGUUUAAGGGGUGCGUAGGUGGUUUGAUAAGUCAGCGGUGAAAGUUUGCAGCUUAACUGUAAAAAUGCCGUUGAAACUGUCGGACUUGAGUGUAAAUGAGGUAGGCGGAAUGCGUGGUGUAGCGGUGAAAUGCAUAGAUAUCACGCAGAACUCCGAUUGCGAAGGCAGCUUACUAAGCUACAACUGACACUGAAGCACGAAAGCGUGGGGAUCAAACAGGAUUAGAAACCCGUGUAGUCC